ACGGCCUUGCGUCACUUCCGGCUUCUCCUCCACCUUUUCCAGGGCUUCGCCUCUGGAGAGAUCGGAUGGUGGUACGGGCCGGUGCUCCUGAAGUUCGGCUCGGUCUCACUCCCGGCGUACCGAGGCCCUGUCUCUCUAAUGGCCUGGCAUCCGUCGCGCCUUCCAUGCCUCAGCGACGCAGGUGGAGGCUCCAGGACUGCGGUUUGCAUAGAGAAACAAAGUACCAAAGUUAAUUGCCUGAAGAUUCACAGCUAAUGAAGAAACUGCUCACAUUUGGCCAAGAUCACAUAAGUAGGAGGUGGGGAAUUGGAACACACUCUGACUCCAAAUUAAUACAGUUUGUAGCCAGUUACAUAAUAAUGGUAAAAGGCUUCAUUUGUUGCUGUGUUAUAUGGAUAAACUCACUGAGGGUUAGUACACCCUUAAAGGAUACACACAUGGCAGGAAGGAUAAAAAAGAAAACUGAAACAGCAGAGAAGCAGAAAAAAUAAAAUCUCCCAAAAUAAACUUGAGAGGGAUUAAAAAUAAAAGCAGAUAUUAAUUAAAUAAAAUAUAAAAUUGAUAACUGCUGUUUGAAAAGAACAAUAAAUAGACACUUAGCAAAUUUAAAGAAGGAAAGAAAACAAUAAUGGAAACAAAGGAACAUAUUUCAGAUAUGAGGGACUCCCAAAAUUAGAAGUGAGUCUCAAGUAGCUUUAUACUAAUAAUCUUGAAAAUUUAUUUGGAUAAUUUUCUAGGAAAAUACAGAUUUUCAAAAAUUGGCUGUAGUUAGAAAACCUUAAUAAACUGAUAAUCAUGAAAGAA